UACAGAGGUCCCGAGCGUUGUUCGGAUUCAUUGGGCGUAAAGGGUGCGUAGGUGGCGCCGUAAGUGGGGUGUGAAAUCCCGGGGCUUAACCCCGGGACUGCAUUCCAUACUGCGGUGCUUGAGGACUGGAGAGGAGACUGGAAUUUACGGUGUAGCAGUGAAAUGCGUAGAGAUCGUAAGGAAGACCAGUGGCGAAGGCGGGUCUCUGGACAGGUUCCUGACACUGAGGCACGAAGGCCAGGGGAGCAAACGGGAUUAGAGUACCCCGUGUAAGUCC
rnacentral:rRNA from 1 species